rnacentral:rRNA from 1 species
AUACGUAGGGGGCAAGCGUUAUCCGGAUUUACUGGGUGUAAAGGGAGCGUAGGCGGCACGUCAAGCCAGAUGUGAAAGCCCGGGGCUUAACCCCGUGGAUUGCAUUUGGAACUGGCGAGCUAGAGUACAGGAGAGGAAAGCGGAAUUCCUAGUGUAGCGGUGAAAUGCGUAGAUAUUAGGAAGAACACCAGUGGCGAAGGCGGCUUUCUGGACUGAAACUGACGCUGAGGCUCGAAAGCGUGGGGAGC